rnacentral:tRNA from 2 species
GCGGGGAUAGCUCAGUUGGUAGAGCGCAACCUUGCCAAGGUUGAGGUCGCGAGUUCGAAUCUCGUUUCCCGCUCUA